rnacentral:rRNA from 1 species
CACGACUACAUUAGAUACCCGGUAGUCCUAGCCGUAAACGAUACUCGCUAGGUGUCGGCCACGGUGCGACCGUUGUCGGUGCCGUAGGGAAGCCGUGAAGCGAGCCACCUGGGAAGUACGGCCGCAAGGCUGAAACUUAAAGGAAUUGGCGGGGGAGCACAACAACGGGUGGAGCUUGCGGUUUAAUUGGAUUCAACGCCGGAAAUCUUACCGGGACCGACAGCAACAUGAAGGCCAAGCUGAAGACUUUGCCGGAUUAGCUG